AGGGAAUGCCCUCCUCGCUGUGCCCCGGGGCAGAAGCGGACUGCAGGGCGGUGGGACCGGCCUGGGCCACGAUUUCCAUAAAAUAACAAGGAAUAUUGUGAUGUUGGGUGGCAGUGUGCCUGAGGGAAAAGAAUACAGAGCCCUGCUGGAGUGCCACACGGGACACAGAGGAAAAUGUCGCUGCCCUCACCUGUGCCAUCGCCUGGCUUACACACCUUUGCGGAGCGCCACUACUUCUUUCUGUGAAACCACUGUAAGUGCAGUUCCUGGGUACUUAAAAAUGCAAGGUGGAGCUUCUGCUUCCGAAUGCAUUACAUGAGGUGAAGAACAAUGGUGAAGGUGUGGGUCUGCUAAGCAGUCCAGCGAGUCACAAGUGCAGGCAGACCAUUAAAAGUUAAGUAAAUUGAAACAUUAAAAUUCAGCGAGAAAUACGUCUAUAUGGCAGUUUCCAGGCGCCCCAGUGAUGUUAAGUUUCUGUGUCAUCUCAAGUUUCCUCCACUUGCUUUGAGCUACAAAGGAACCCAGCCAUAAUAGAACUUUGGGUCUAUGUGAUACCUUGAUAUAGGAAUGGAAAAUAACACCCCUCCUCUCAAGAGGUCAAGUGCCUGCCACGCUGGACCCAAGUCAAACUAUCUCCCUUCCAGUCUGGCUUUGUAUGACGGGACUUCAAAAACUUCAUGGAAAAAGGAAAUUAAGAGGUACAUUUAUUUUGCCGCCAAAAAGUCAAAAUCUAUGCACAGUGUUUGCAGAAUACACAUUUCCUUUAAGCCUUUUCAAUGAGCUAUUAGGCAGAAGUUAAGUCACAGAAUAACAGAUGUAAUUUAUACUCAACAUAUAAGGAAGUAGGUACUGAAAAUUUUAAGUUUUGCUUUCCACCUGUUGGUUCACUCCCCAAGUGGCCACAACAGACAUGGGCCAAUCCUCCGAUUCUCCACCCUACUUAAGUGUAUCCAUUAGGGACAUUGUGGUGUAGCAGGUUAAGCUGAUACUUGCAAUGUCCCAUAUAGAUGCAGGUUCGAGCCCCAGCUGCUCUACUUCUGAUCUAGCCCCUAUUAAUGCUCCUGGGAAAGGAGCAGAAGAUGACCCAAGUGCUUGGGACCCUGCCACCCACAUGGGAGACCCAUAUGGGGUUUCAUGUUCCUGAUUUUGGCCUGGUCCAUUUCUGGCUGUUGUGGCCACUUGGAGAGAAUGAUAAAUGAUCAUUCUCUCUCUCUUCCUCCCUGU